AGAGUUUGAUCAUGGCUCAGAACGAACGCUGGCGGCGUGGUUAAGGCAUGCAAGUCGAACGGAUUUUGUCUUUGGGUAACCGAGGGCAAAAUUAGUGGCGAACGGGUGAGUAAUGCAUGGGUAACGUACCCCGGACACAGGGAUAGCGGCGUCUCCCGAGCAAUCGGGUGACUUUGCGAAAGUGCCGGUAAUACCUGAUGACCUCGACGGAUCGCAUGUUCCGUCGGGCAAAGGUCCGCCGGUCUGGGAGCGACCCAUGUCCUAUCAGCUUGUUGGUGGGGUAAUGGCCUACCAAGGCGACGACGGGUAGCCGGCGUGAGAGCGUGACCGGCCACAUCGGGACUGAGACACUGCCCGGACACCUACGGGUGGCUGCAGCAACGAAUAUUCCGCAAUGGGCGAAAGCCUGACGGAGCGACGCCGCGUGCAGGAUGAAGUCUUUCGAGAUGUAAACUGCUGUCAGGGGCGAGGAAAAAAAUGACCAGCCCCAAAGGAAGCCUCGGCUAAUUCCGUGCCAGCAGCCGCGGUAAUACGGAAGAGGCGAGCGUUGUUCGGAAUUAUUGGGCUUAAAGAGCGUGUAGGCGGGACGUCAGGUGCCUUGUGAAAUCCCACGGCUCAACCGUGGAAUUGCUUGGCAAACCGGCAUCCUUGAGGCAAGUAGGGGCGACUGGAACCUUCGGUGGAGCGGUGAAAUGCGUAGAUAUCGAAGGGAACGCCGGUGGCGAAAGCGGGUCGCUGGGCUUGUCCUGACGCUGAGACGCGAAAGCGUAGGUAGCAAACAGGAUUAGAUACCCUGGUAGUCUACGCCGUAAACGAUGCGCACUAGACUGGAGGACCUCUGACGGUCAUCGAGUCGAAGCAAAAGUGUUAAGUGCGCCGCCUGGGGAGUACGGCCGCAAGGCUAAAACUCAAAGGAAUUGACGGGGGCUCACACAAGCGGUGGAGCAUGUGGAUCAAUUCGAAGCAACGCGAAGAACCUUACCUGGGUUUGACAUGUACGGAUGCUCUUCUGGAAACAGGAGUAGGCUGCCUUCGGGUGAAACGUGCGCAGGUGCUGCAUGGCUGUCGUCAGCUCGUGCUGUGAAGUGUUGGGUUAAGUCCCGUAACGAGCGAAACCCUUGUCGUUAGUUGCCAGCGGGUCAUGCCGGGAACUCUAGCGAGACUGCCGGUGUUAAACCGGAGGAAGGUGGGGAUGACGUCAAGUCCUCAUGGCCUUUAUGCCCAGGGUGUCACACGUGCUACAAUGGGGCGUACAAAGCGACGCGAUACCGUGAGGUGGAGCAAAUCGCAAAAAGCAGUUCUCAGUUCGGAUUGAAGUCUGCAACUCGACUUCAUGAAGUUGGAAUCGCUAGUAAUCGUGGAUCAGCAUGCCACGGUGAAUACGUUCCCGGGCCUUGUACACACCGCCCGUCACACCACGAAAGUCGACUGUACCAGAAGUUGCUGGGCUAACCCCGGUUUCGGGGAGGCAGGUACCUAAGGUAUGGCCGGUAAUUGGGGUGAAGUCGUAACAAGGUA
rnacentral:rRNA from 1 species